CAGUAAAACCCACAUCCCAAAUCAAUUUCAGUUUAUUCUAAAUCAGAAACCCUAAAAUUCUUCCACAAUUUCCUUUCAAUUUUUGAAACCCUAGCCACCACAAUCUCCAACCUCAGCCUUUCCCCACGGCGACCACCACAGCCGCACCAGUUUGCUACCAUCUAACUCUAUUAUCUGGCCGUUAAGAGUCACUGGUAGGUUACUGUAACCAUAACUCAUCUCUCCUGCGCGAUCCCAGUGGCAUCUCUCGGCUUAUCCAAAUUUCCUUCAUUUUCACAGAGGAAGUAGCGGAUUUGAGAUUUGGUUUCAGUUGAGGAGCACUAAUUUUAGCUGUCAUUUUGGGAGUAUUUAUUUUGAUCCCAUGAGACCGUGAAUCUGAUAAUUCGAAAACGGAUCACUCAAUUGUUAACUCUAAAAAUAAUUGACACUAAAUAUAAGGCAUCCAAAAUAUAGUAAGACUAAAGUCUUUGCAUAAUAAGGGAACUGAUUGCUGGAUAACCACUAAGAACAAGUUCUGAGUGUUGAAUCUGAUCAGAAGAGAACAAACUAAAGAACUUAGUCAUGGCACCAUUGCAGCAACAAGAUAUUCAGCAUGCGAAACCGUUGGAGGUCGUUGUCGGUACUUGGUAGGACGAUGCAAGCAAGAGCAAUUGCAAUUUGGAAAAAAAGAGGCAGAAAAAAUAAACUGAUAAAAAACAGCCAGUUCACUUCACACUCUUCAUGUUGUAAUGUCGCUUGUGUACAAGUUUUCAUAACCCAACUCAUUCAAAAACAUAGUUAAGACACAUGUUCUGUAUAAUUUAAUUAUAUAUAUUUUCUUUAUAUGCAACAUUCUCCUUUUAAUGGAAAUGCCCUGU